GCAAACUUGGUCAUUUAGAGGAAGUAAAAGUCGUAACAAGGUUUCCGUAGGUGAACCUGCGGAAGGAUCAUUAACGUAUCUACGACGGGGUGUCGUCCCGCCCGGCUCCGGUCCCUGACCGUGCAGCGGGCGGGCGUCCCCCGCUCGAACCUCACGAACCCACUGUGAACCUUCACGGCGGAGGGGGGCCUCGACGGCCUCCCGAAGCCGCAUACCCAAACUCCAGUUGCAAAAGAAUGUCGUGCGGACUAAGUGUCGCCUAAACAUGUAACAACUUUCAACAACGGAUCUCUUGGCUCUCGCAUCGAUGAAGAACGCAGC
rnacentral:misc_RNA from 1 species